rnacentral:rRNA from 1 species
GUGGGGAAUUUUGGACAAUGGGCGAAAGCCUGAUCCAGCCAUGCCGCGUGCAGGAUGAAGGCCUUCGGGUUGUAAACUGCUUUUGUACGGAACGAAAAGACUCCUUCUAAUAAAGGGGGUCCAUGACGGUACCGUAAGAAUAAGCACCGGCUAACUACGUGCCAGCAGCCGCGGUAAUACGUAGGGUGCAAGCGUUAAUCGGAAUUACUGGGCGUAAAGCGUGCGCAGGCGGUUAUAUAAGACAGAUGUGAAAUCCCCGGGCUCAACCUGGGAACUACAUUUGUGACUGUAUAGCUAGAGUACGGUAGAGGGGGAUGGAAUUCCGCGUGUAGCAGUGAAAUGCGUAGAUAUGCGGAGGAACACCGAUGGCGAAGGCAAUCCCCUGGACCUGUACUGACGCUCAUGCACGAAAGCGUGGGGAGCAAACAGGAUUAGAUACCCGGGUAGUCC